CACAUCAGUGAGCAAGGUUCAAUUUAGGGAUUGAGAGCCCUCAGCGACUAUAACACCUAGCCCAUAUUCAAAUUUGGCACUUGAUUGCUGCCACUGAUUCUUCAAAAUGCCUAUCUUGUAUGGAAUGCUUGACAGCCAAAUGAAGGAAUGAUUUAAACAAAUGCCAAAGGUGAGACAUGCUGGAAAAGCUUGAUAUGAAUGUGUAGACGUAGUUUUGGAAUUCAGAUGUGCAACCGGCUGUUGGGAUUGCGCCAUCCAGGCAAUGUGGAUAUUCUGCCAUGUACAUAAUAAACCGAGGAUUCUUCGUCAACAUGCAAUAUGUUACUCCCUGUAAACUACUGUUGGCGGAAAAGCUGAUACAUUGGGCAAACGGUUAUGGCAAGUGCGAUGAAUAAAUCACCAUAGGUCAGUUGUCUUGCCUUCACAAUUGCAACGAAGAUGAAUCAUGGAGUCAAAAACAUUAAAAGGUGCAUGGAACGUCCAAUCGGAAAGCCCAUGGAAGGUCUCUGUGGCCAACACGAAAGGUUCUCCCAAACUUUCGUAUUCAAGUUUUGGCUAUGGUGAUCAUUUGCAACUGCAUAGCCUUUUAGAAGCUCCUGCCAGGAAUCUACAGGAAUAUGGCAGAUGAUGAAUUUAUGUACCAUGUAAGCGAUAUCAAUAAGAACGUCUUAUGCUUAUCUAUGUUUUAUUUUCUUAAUUUAGAUUAAUAGCAAUAGUGAACCUGCGAAGGUUUCUGGUUGGGAUGUGAUAACGAAAAGUUAUAAUAAUUUGAAGUACGGAAUUGAAUUUCCCUCCAUCAGUCGCCUGUGUAUUCCCGCGUAUUACGGUAUUAAUUAUUUAAAAAUUG